AGUGUAUAAUAUUAUCGUCAUUGUCAUUUUUAUCGUUUGUGUCCACACCAUCGUUAACUUCGUUUAAUCAGUAAUACUGGUUAAUUGUUAGACAAUUUUCGAAGUAUUAAGAAGACGCCACGGAAUUCAAAAGAACGUCACGUGAUCGACAACAACGGACAUUGGCAUAUCAUCAAGACACGGUUAUUUCUUGAUUACAAAGGUAGCACAUGGACGCCACGUGUCGAUUUAAUAAUCAUUCUGAUGAACUUUUACUUUGAAAGUUUGGUAACAUUUUCUUUACUUUG